CCUACGGGUGGCUGCAGUGAGGAAUAUUGGUCAAUGGACGAGAGUCUGAACCAGCCAAGUAGCGUGAAGGAUGACUGCCCUAUGGGUUGUAAACUUCUUUUAUAUGGGAAUAAAAUGUUCCACGUGUGGGAUUUUGUAUGUACCAUAUGAAUAAGGAUCGGCUAACUCCGUGCCAGCAGCCGCGGUAAUACGGAGGAUCCGAGCGUUAUCCGGAUUUAUUGGGUUUAAAGGGAGCGUAGGGGGAUUGUUAAGUCAGUUGUGAAAGUUUGCGGCUCAACCGUAAAAUUGCAGUUGAAACUGGAAGCCUUGAGUACAGUAGAGGUAGGCGGAAUGCGUGGUGUAGCGGUGAAAUGCUUAGAUAUCACGAAGAACUCCGAUUGCGAAGGCAGUUCACUGGACUGCAACUGACACUGAGGCACGAAAGUGUGGGUAUCAAACAGGAUUAGAUACCCGGGUAGUC
rnacentral:rRNA from 1 species